CAAAGAUGUAUAUAUAUGUAUAUACUUCUCUUUGAUGAACUUGACCUUUCAUUGAACUCUUCUCUCUGAAGCCAUAUUGUGACUUCUUCUCCUUUAUGUGAUUUGAAAUUCUUUACAGGGCUGAAGAUUAAAAUGGUAGAUUUUAUACUGUUUGACAAAUUCAGUGAACAGCCAGUUUGUUAGAAGAGGUUUCCAUGGCAGAAACUCCAGAGAUUAGAAAGGAGGGGUGUGGACUGGUGGGAGCAAUUUUGCAACGUGGGGUGUUGAAGCCAAGAAAGACAUCAGAGUCGCCAAUUCCUCGGGACAGCAGCAAGAGAACACCUGUAAAGUUUCUGAGGUUUUAUGCUUCAAAGAGGCAAAGAGGCAGCUCGGACGAAAAUGAUAUGGCAGCCGCCAUGGACUCCUCAAUUGUAGCUAAACCUCCUCUGAAGCUAGCUGAAAAAGCACCGCGAAAACCGAGCAUGGACAGCACAAUGUUUUCCACCGCACAAGGCCACAGAACUGGACAUUCUAGUAAAAGCUCAAUGUCAUUUGUCAACAAUUCAAGUAUGAUCAGUACCUCGCAAGUAGUGAAUUCUGAGUACACUCGGAUGUUAAGGAGGGAACCAACCUUCACUUCAAGCGAGUUUAGUGUGACAAGUCACAGGAAAUCCAAUGUCAGUAGCAAGGGACAUCUGUAUCGUGCGUCCACAGGCAGUGUUAUGCUUGUAGGCCAUUUGGGAAACUUGAAGCAGAAAGGACACAAUAAAUCAUUGAGUGAUUCUGCGAAUUCUAGGACUGUUCGGAAGGGAAAUCUUAGUGGUAAAUUUGCCCCGGCCACAGCUGCAAUGGGGAACAUUCUGAAGAAGCCAACUGAAAGGAACCAUACUUCUGGUUCGUUGAAUAAGUUGGACCCUGAGGCACUGAAAUGUCUUGGUAAUGAGAAGUACCAGGAGGGAAAGUUCGAGGAGGCAUUGGACCUGUACAAUCAAGCAAUUGCUAUUGAUCCAAGCAAGGCAUCUUUCUAUAGCAACAAGAGUGCUGCUUUGAUGAGUUUAGGCAAUCUCAUUGAGGCAGUUUUUGAGUGUCAAGAGGCCAUCCGACUGGAUCCGUCGUAUCAUAAUGCUCAUUAUCGUUUGGCAAGAUUGUUUAUCAGAUUGGGAGAAGCAGGGAAAGCUAUAGAUCACUUCGAGAAAUCAGGGCGCAAGGCUAGCAGUAAGGACAUUUCCAAUGCUGAGAAUCUUGAGACACACCUAAAUAGGUGCUCCAGAGCUCGGAGACGAAAGGAUUGGGAGACAUUGCUCAAUCACAGUCAGGCUGCAAUAGCAAUGGGUGCAGAUUCAGCACAACAGAUCUAUGCUAUGCAAGCAGAGGCCUUGAUGGAACUCUUCAGGGACGACGAGGCAUACAAAGUUAAUGAUGAAGGACCUGAUUUUGACAUUGAACUUCAUACUAGGUUUCUUGGCUCAGCUGAAACUGCUAAGUUAUUGGUAGUUCGAUCUAAGAUCUUCAUGGCUGCAGGCAGGUUUGAGGAUGCUGUGGCUGCUGCAAGACACGCAGCACGACUUGAUUCCAGUGAUGAUGUGAAAUCACUUGUAAAGAAGGUUGAUUUUGUUGCAUCAACACGGAUAAAGGGAAACAGGCUUUUCAAUGCAUCAAGGUAUGCUGAGGCUUCUCUUGCAUAUACUUCAGCACUAGAGGAAGUGCCAUACAACUCUGUCUUGCUUUGCAAUAGAGCAGCUUGCCGAUCUAAACUGGGACAAUAUGAGAAAGCAGUUGAAGAUUGUACAGAGGCCCUUAAAGUGCGACCUUCGUAUAGCAAAGCCAGGUUGCGAAGGGCGGAUAGCAACGCUAAGCUUGAAAGAUGGGAGGCAGCACUGGAAGAUUAUGAGACGCUGAUGCACGUAGUUCCCGGGGAUGAGGAGGUAACAAAGGGAUUCCAAGAAGCAAGAAAGCAGGUGAAAAAGCAGCACAACUAUGAGGUAGAAAAGCCAAGAACCAGUUCUGAUUUGAAGUCAGUCAUUAGCAACAAGCCAGUGGGAAAAAUUCUCACAGCAGCCGAGUUCUAUGGUAGUAGUACCAGCUUCAAGCUCUCAAAUGGGAUUGAUUUUGAUACCAGCAGUGGAGCAAAUUGUGCUGCUGCUACUAGUACUACUGAAUUCGGCCGCUCUGUGACAACCUUGAGAGAAAUUUUCACCCAUUAAAAGGUUUGUAAUUUAUGCGUCAAAGACCCCAAACUUAGGCGGAUCAAACUUUGAGACUACAAGAAAUGUAGCAAUAGUACGGUUCUGGAUGCUAAGAGAAUCCAAUACAUGAGCAAUUUAGAAACUGUGGAGAUUAAAGAAGUAAAGGAAACCGUCAGACAUUAAGUGGAAGUUUGUAUAUAUUUCCUCAAUUUUUUUUUUUUUUUUUUUUGGGUGUGUAUCUUUUCACCUUGAGUACACUUUCAUGUCUUCUAUUCUAUUCUUUCUAUUAGUUGUUUGAGAAUAUUAAGCUAAUUAUUAGUCAAUUUCGAUUAUUCAAUUCAUCAAAUGUUUGUUUGCAUUCAUUUUAUAAACUGUUUCUGAUUGUUGAUUGC